rnacentral:miRNA from 1 species
UGGAGCUCUUGAGGCCUGGCAU